rnacentral:rRNA from 1 species
AUUGAACGCUGGCGGAAUGCUUUACACAUGCAAGUCGAACGGCAGCACGGACUUCGGUCUGGUGGCGAGUGGCGAACGGGUGAGUAAUGCGUCGGAACGUGCCGAGUAGUGGGGGAUAACGCAGCGAAAGUUGUGCUAAUACCGCAUACGUACUGAGGUAGAAAGUGGGGGACCUUCGGGCCUCACGCUAUUCGAGCGGCCGACGUCUGAUUAGCUAGUAGGUGAGGUAAAGGCUCACCUAGGCGACGAUCAGUAGCGGGUCUGAGAGGAUGAUCCGCCACACUGGGACUGAGACACGGCCCAGACUCCUACGGGAGGCAGCAGUGGGGAAUUUUGGACAAUGGGCGAAAGCCUGAUCCAGCCAUGCCGCGUGUCUGAAGAAGGCCUUCGGGUUGUAAAGGACUUUUGUCAGGGAGGAAAUCCCUAGUGCUAAUAACACUGGGGGAUGACAGUACCUGAAGAAUAAGCACCGGCUAACUACGUGCCAGCCGCCGCCGUAA